GAUCCUGGCUCAGGAUAAACGCUAGCGGCAGGCCUAACACAUGCAAGUCGAGGGGCAUCGGAUAGAGUACUUCGGUACUCUUGCCGGCGACCGGCGGACGGGUGNGUAACGCGUAUGCAACCUACCUUCAACAGGGGGAUAAUCCGAAGAAAUUUGGUCUAAUACCCCAUAAUAUUCCGACAGGCAUCUGUUGGAGUUGAAAGCUUCGGUGGUUGGAGAUGGGCAUGCGUUGUAUUAGCUAGAUGGUG
rnacentral:rRNA from 1 species